CUAUCGUUGAAGGAUUGUACAAUCUCUUCAGAGAGCUGUUGCCAAGCCUCCACAAAAGAAGAGGUGACAAAAUCAUUGAAGACUCUGAGGUUUUUGAGAUUGCACCAGUGUGCUGGGCCUACCUGUUAUCUGAAGCAAAGAAAGAGAGUUCACAACAUGAGGUCUAUGUACCGAUAGACUUGAACUCUCAACCUGGAGAACGUUUAUGCGACCCAGUUCGAGUACCUGGGUUACCAGAUGUCUUUGAGAGAGAGUAUGUUCUGCAGAAAAUUGAAGAUGGAGAGAAAAUCCCAAACUGCUCUGUGGAGAUCCUGACAGAGAAUGCAAUGUCUAGAGCCUCUGAUGUUGAAAAGAUUUUACUCAGCCUACCUCCAUCCAUCAAGACUUUCCCUGUUUGGAUUUCGUAUGGAC